GGUUGACCUCGGAUCAGGUAGGGAUACCCGCUGAACUUAAGCAUAUCAAUAAGCGGAGGAAAAGAAACCAACAGGGAUUGCCUCAGUAACGGCGAGUGAAGCGGCAACAGCUCAAAUUUGAAAUCUGGCUCCUUUGGGGGUCCGAGUUGUAAUUUGUAGAGGAUGCUUCGGGUAAGGCGGUGGUCUAAUUUGCUUGGAACAGCGAGUCAUAGAGGGUGAGAAUCCCGUCUAGGAUCGCCAGCCGCGCCCAUGUGAAGCUCCUUCGACGAGUCGAGUUGUUUGGGAAUGCAGCUCUAAAUGGGUGGUAAAUUUCAUCUAAAGCUAAAUAUUGGCCAGAGACCGAUAGCGCACAAGUAGAGUGAUCGAAAGAUGAAAAGCACUUUGAAAAGAGAGUUAAACAGUAUGUGAAAUUGUUGAAAGGGAAGCGCUUGCAACCAGACUUGCGUGUAACGGUUCCCCCGGCCUUCUGGCCGGGUCACUCCGUUAUCUCCAGGCCAGCAUCGGUUUGGGUGGUCGGUAAAAGACCCCGGGAAUGUAUCUACCUUCGGGUCGACUUAUAGCCCGGGGUGUAAUGCGGCCCAUCCAGACCGAGGAACGCGCUUCGGCUCGGAUGCUGGCGUAAUGGUUGUAAGCGGCCCGUCUUGAAACACGGACCAAGGAGUCUAACAUCUAUGCGAGUGUUUGGGUGUCAAACCCCUACGCGUAAUGAAAGUGAACGGAGGUAAGAACCCCGCAAGGGGCGCAUUAUCGACCGAUCCUGAUGUCUUCGGAUGGAUUUGAGUAAGAGCAUAGCUGUUGGGACCCGAAAGAUGGUGAACUAUGCCUGAAUAGGGUGAAGCCAGAGGAAACUCUGGUGGAGGCUCGCAGCGGUUCUGACGUGCAAAUCGAUCGUCAAAUUUGGGCAUAGGGGCGAAAGACUAAUCGAACCAUUGUUAAGCGGGCCUGAAGGUGGCUACCGGGUGGUUCCACACAAAGUCCUUUGGGGCUACAUCGUCCUUCUGGCGGGGAAUUCAAACCCGCAGCAGUUUCGGCUGUCCACAGACUAGGAGACGCUGGUCAUCUCAAUCGUGAGGUGGUGAUGAUAUAGUCGGUCGUGGUUACA
rnacentral:rRNA from 1 species